rnacentral:rRNA from 1 species
GACGAGCUACACAAACGUUAUUCGGAAUUACUGGGCUUAAAGGGUGCGUAGGCUGCGCGGAAAGUUGGGUGUGAAAUCCCUCGGCUCAACCGAGGAACUGCGCCCAAAACUACCGUGCUCGAGGAAGAUAGAGGUGAGCGGAACUUACGGUGGAGCGGUGAAAUGCGUUGAUAUCGUAAGGAACACCCGUGGCGAAAGCGGCUCACUGGGUCUUUUCUGACGCUGAGGGACGAAAGCUAGGGGAGCGAACGGG